AACGAACGCUGGCGGCAUGCCUAACACAUGCAAGUCGAACGAGACCUUCGGGUCUAGUGGCGCACGGGUGCGUAACGCGUGGGAACCUGCCCUUAGGCUCGGAAUAACUCCCCGAAAGGGGUGCUAAUACCGGACAAUGUCUUCGGCCCAAAGAUUUAUCGCCUUUGGAUGGGCCGGCGUUGGAUUAGCUAGUUGGUAGGGUAAAAGCCUACCAAGGCGACGAUUCAUAGCUGGUCUGAGAGGAUGAUCAGCCACACUGGGACUGAGACACGGCCCAGACUCCUACGGGAGGCAGCAGUGGGGAAUAUUGGACAAUGGGGGAAAGCCUGAACCAGCAAUGCCGCGUGAGUGAUGAAGGCCUUAGGGUUGUAAAGCUCUUUUACCCGGGAUGGUAAUGACGGUACCGAGAGAAUAAGCUCCGGCUAACUCCGUG
rnacentral:rRNA from 1 species